rnacentral:rRNA from 1 species
GUAGGGAAUAUUGGACAAUGGGCGAAAGCCUGAUCCAGCCAUGCCGCGUGUGUGAAGAAGGUCUUCGGAUUGUAAAGCACUUUAAGUUGGGAGGAAGGGCAGUAAGUUAAUACCUUGCUGUUUUGACGUUACCGACAGAAUAAGCACCGGCUAACUUCGUGCCAGCAGCCGCGGUAAUACGAAGGGUGCAAGCGUUAAUCGGAAUUACUGGGCGUAAAGCGCGCGUAGGUGGUUUUGUAAGUUGGAGGUGAAAUCCCCGGGCUCAACCUGGGAACUGCCUCCAAAACUGCAUGACUAGAGUACGGUAGAGGGUAGUGGAAUUUCCUGUGUAGCGGUGAAAUGCGUAGAUAUAGGAAGGAACACCAGUGGCGAAGGCGACUACCUGGACUGAUACUGACACUGAGGUGCGAAAGCGUGGGGAGCAAACAGGAUUAGAAACCCGAGUAGUCC